GACGAACGCUGGCGGCGUGCCUAACACAUGCAAGUCGAGCGGGAACCUGAGGAGGGGUAACCCUCUUCAGGGGAGAGCGGCGAACGGGUGAGUAUCACGUGGGCAACCUGCCCCGGACACCGGGAUAACCCAGGGAAACCUGAGCUAAUACCGGAUACUCCGGCGCGAUCGCAUGGUCGCGCCGGGAAAGCUCCGACGGUCCGGGAUGGGCCCGCGGCCUAUCAGCUUGUUGGCGGGGUAACGGCCCACCAAGGCGACGACGGGUAGCUGGUCUGAGAGGACGGCCAGCCACACUGGGACUGAGACACGGCCCAGACUCCUACGGGAGGCAGCAGUGGGGGAUAUUGCGCUAAUGCGCGAAAGCGUGACGCAGCGACGCCGCGUGGGGGAUGAAGGCCCUCGGGUCGUAAACCCCUUUCGCCAGGGACGAAGCGAAAGUGACGGUACCUGGAGAAGAAGUCCCGGCUAACUACGUGCCAGCAGCCGCGGUAACACGUAGGGGACGAGCGUUGUCCGGAUUCAUUGGCGU
rnacentral:rRNA from 1 species